UACGUAGGGUGCAAGCGUUGUCCGGAAUUAUUGGGCGUAAAGAGCGUGUAGGCGGCCCGAUUAGUCCGCUGUGAAAGUCCAGGGCUCAACCCUGGAAUGCCGGUGGAUACUGUCGGGCUAGAGUCCGGAAGGGGCGAGUGGAAUUCCUGGUGUAGCGGUGAAAGUGACGCAGAUAUCAGGAGGAACACCAAUGGCGAAGGCAGCUCGCUGGGACGUGACUGACGCUGAGACGCGAAAGCGUGGGGAGCAAACAGG
rnacentral:rRNA from 1 species